rnacentral:rRNA from 1 species
AAACCGAUGGCUAAUACCGCAUGAUGCCUACGGGCCCAAAGAGGGGACCUUCGGGCCUCUCGCGUCAGGAUAUGCCUAGGUGGGAUUAGCUAGUUGGUGAGGUAAGGGCUCACCAAGGCGACGAUCCCUAGCUGGUCUGAGAGGAUGAUCAGCCACACUGGAACUGAGACACGGUCCAGACUCCUACGGGAGGCAGCAGUGGGGAAUAUUGCACAAUGGGCGCAAGCCUGAUGCAGCCAUGCCGCGUGUGUGAAGAAGGCCUUCGGGUUGUAAAGCACUUUCAGUCGUGAGGAAGGUAGUGUAGUUAAUAGCUGCAUUAUUUGACGUUAGCGACAGAAGAAGCACCGGCUAACUCCGUGCCAGCAGCCGCGGUAAUACGGAGGGUGCGAGCGUUAAUCGGAAUUACUGGGCGUAAAGCGCAUGCAGGUGGUUUGUUAAGUCAGAUGUGAAAGCCCGGGGCUCAACCUCGGAAUUGCAUUUGAAACUGGCAGACUAGAGUACUGUAGAGGGGGGUAGAAUUUCAGGUGUAGCGGUGAAAUGCGUAGAGAUCUGAAGGAAUACCGGUGGCGAAGGCGGCCCCCUGGACAGAUACUGACACUCAGAUGCGAAAGCGUGGGGAGCAAACAGGAUUAGAUACCCUGGUAGUCCACGCCGUAAACGAUGUCUACUUGGAGGUUGUGGCCUUGAGCCGUGGCUUUCGGAGCUAACGCGUUAAGUAGACCGCCUGGGGAGUACGGUCGCAAGAUUAAAACUCAAAUGAAUUGACGGGGGCCCGCACAAGCGGUGGAGCAUGUGGUUUAAUUCGAUGCAACGCGAAGAACCUUACCUACUCUUGACAUCCAGAGAACUUUCCAGAGAUGGAUUGGUGCCUUCGGGAACUCUGAGACAGGUGCUGCAUGGCUGUCGUCAG